CAGGACGAACGCUGGCGGCGUGCCUAAUACAUGCAAGUCGAACGGUCUUUCUAUGGAAGCUUGCUUCCACUGAGAAGAUAGUGGCGAACGGGUGAGUAACACGUGGGUAACCUGCCCAUAAGAGGGGGAUAACAUCCGGAAACGGGUGCUAAUACCGCAUAGUUUUCUUGAUUGCAUGAUUGAGAAAGGAAAGACGGCCUUUGUGCUGUCGCUUAUGGAUGGACCCGCGGCGUAUUAGUUAGUUGGUGAGGUAACGGCUCACCAAGACGAUGAUACGUAGCCGACCUGAGAGGGUGAUCGGCCACAUUGGGACUGAGACACGGCCCAAACUCCUACGGGAGGCAGCAGUAGGGAAUCUUCCGCAAUGGACGAAAGUCUGACGGAGCAACGCCGCGUGAGCGAAAGAAGGUUUUCGGAUCGUAAAACUCUGUUGUCAGAGAAGAACAAGUUGGAGAGUAACUGCUCCAGCCUUGACGGUAUCUGACCAGAAAGCCACGGCUAACUACGUGCCAGCCGCCGC
rnacentral:rRNA from 1 species